rnacentral:tRNA from 1 species
AGGUCAUAUGGUAGUACA